GGCGGUGGUAGCUUAGUGGUUAAGACAUCCGACUACUGAUCAGAAGGUGAUGAGUUCCAUCCCUGGCAUUGCCA